UACCCUGACCUUCACACCCCUCACCUUCAACGUGGAAAUCAAAGAACAGUUAUACGACUCAUGAUCGUUGUCAACUCCAAAGCUAAAUUUGAAGCUAAAUUCUCAAGACUCAAAAAGGGUUUUUGUAAAUUUGGAUCCAAAAAGUUGAGGAUGAUCAUUGUCCACUCCAAAAGCCUCCUCUCAGACCCUUAAGUCCUCUCUCUAUCUUACUCUGACCUUCCAAUUUAGUCACAUUUGAGAGGAAGAAGAAGAUCAUCUGGUUAACAAAUUCACUUGGGUUUGAAAUCCAGAAGGGACAUAAAUUGAGCAUAUUUAACAAAACCCACCUCUCAAAAACCUCGAACACAUAGAGAGAAAGAGAGAGAGAAAGAGAGAGAGUCAGCUGAUCCACACACUGUCCACAUGAAGGUAACACGAAAUUGGCGCCGCCGAGGUAAUUUAAAUCUGGAGGGACGUCUUCAACGCCAUCCAUAACCUCGACGCUGCGCCCAACAUCACCGUUUUCGAGCUGGCCUUCCAGCUGCCCCGUCGUCUUCUCGCUUGAUCUGACUCAUGGGGUGAUUCAUGGACUGCAUGUGGUCCUCAUGAUCGUACAAUGGUACCUGCUCAUUCGCGUCAGGCAUUCCUGCAGAGCAUUACAGAAGCAGCAGAUCUAUGAAGAUAAGACUCUGAAACCCUAGUCUUUCUCCGUGCACCAAAAUUGUGAAAUCUUCGCCUUGCAGAGAGCGGACUGUGAUGUUAAUGAUAGAAAAGAAAUCCUAUACUGACUGCGAUUGGUUGUUCCGAUCUGUUUUGAAACCGAAAGUAGAGUUAACUCAGGAGAGGACAAUGGGUGAAGGUAAAUAACUCUCAACGAUUUGGUCCUUCUAAGCGUCUUCUCCGAACACCCAGUUGGGUUAGGGGGCGUUUGGCUCGAAUUUUCCAUCAAAUCACAUUCUAUGGAAUCAGUUUCUCAUUAAAUUUAAACCAUUUCUCAUUUUUGUGAAAAGCUUAUUCGGAGUUGUGGUGUCCAGUGGAAUCCCACAUUUCAACUAAAAUCCAUGACUCAACUGGAUUAACCUCAAUAGGUUAAUCCAAGAUCGAGUCAUGGUUUCUAGGGUUGUUAUAAAAAGCCUAGAUUCACUCUGAAUCAAAAUUUUCGGAAUCGUGCGAUUUUUACGGUGAAGGUCGAUCGGAGUUUACCUGAAACAGAGAGACGGAGAUGCUCGCAGCUGAGAAGAAUUUGAAAACCGAGUUGAUUGAAGGUUGUAAACUUUAUAUCUAGGGUUUACCCUCUUUCCAAAUCAGACACUCAAAUCCGAGGUUUGAAUCUGCAAAACCGAAGCUUGAUUUAAGAAAGCAGUCGGGAACAUAACCGACAAAGAGAGAGAGAGAGACCUACAGUUUCUUUUGCUCUCUAACGCUGAUACAUUUGGUGAAGACCAUCGAGAUCACUUCUUUACGGAGCUCAGAAUUCUGAUUGAUAAAAGGAGUAGCGAUCAUGGCACUUGUGAGGUCAACCAAAAGGCCUAUAGUUGAUGAUCCCAUCACUGUUUGAUCAAGGUGGGGAAAAAAAUCUCAGAGCUUAUUCGAGAUUCAGGCAACCAGACGUCUGGUUCAGAGCAGGGCAGGUGGCAAUCAGAACUUACCCAAGUAGCAAUAGAGUUGAUUGAGUUGAAGUUGAACGUAAAAACAACUGGCUUUUUUUCCUUGAAUUUCUAUGCAAAGCUCUUGGGACGACAUCUGAUGAUAAACCUUUGACUUUUAUGUCAGAAAAACAAAAGGAUUUAUCGGAUGCCAUCGCCAGAUUAUUCCCUAAUGUGCAUCAAAGAUGUUGUGUUAGACAUUUAUAUCAGAACUUCAAGUCAACAGGAUUUUCUAAACAGUUGUUUAAAAAGCACUUCUGGUCAGCAGCAUCAGCAACAAUAGUCAUCCAGUUUGAGAAGGAAAUGAAAGCCAUCAAAGAUAUAUCCAGUGAUGAAUAUAAUUGGAUGAUAGAAACUCCUACAAAGUACUAGGCACGACAUGCGUUUGAUUUGCUGCUAAGAGUCCUCAGCUAACCAAUAACAUGGCUGAGUCAUUCAACCAUUGGAUAGUAGCUGUGAGAGACAAGCCUAUUAUGAUGAUAAUUGAUGAGAUUAGGCUGAAAAUAAUGAGUAGGAUAUUUAUGAUGUUUGAGAAGGGUUGCAGCUAUCCAGUAUCUGGUCCAAUCACACUGGAUAUGAAAAAAAAUUUAGACAAGGUACAACAGAAAGAAAGAGAAUGCAUUGUGCACCAAGCUAAUUCACAGACAUUUGAGGUGGUAGAUAUGCAUGGUAACAUGUCCUCGCGAUGACGAACAAUCGAAGAAAAAGAACAAAACAAGAAGGAAGAGAAAUUAAGGGGAUGAGAUUCAACAUAAAGGUAGCAACUCCCAAGUACUAACAAGGUCACAAGCAACAUCUCAGCCAACAAAAAAAAAAAAAAAUUCAGGAGAGAGCUUUAGUCCGGCAAACUAUCAAGUACUUGAAAUGGAGGAGAACAUAUGCAAAGAAGAAAUAGAAAAAUGGAUGUUGGUGAUGGGAGAGAGCAACUAGGAUAUGGAACAAGCUUUUUUUUGGGACAAAAUUAUUAUUGAGAGAUGAUCAUUGGGAUAUGGAAUUGUUUGAUUGUUUCCUUGGGUUUUGGAACAAUGAUGUUUAUCUAUAUUAUGGAACAAUUUGUUUGUUUAUUUGGGUUUCGGAACAAUGAUGUUUAUUUGAGUUUUGGAACAUGGAUGCUUAUUUGGUAGACUCUAUGGAUGCACUUUAAUAGGCUUGUGAUAUGGAAA